rnacentral:rRNA from 1 species
CAGUACACGGGUAAUACGUAGGGUGCAAGCGUUAAUCGGAAUUACUGGGCGUAAAGCGUGCGCAGGCGGUUAUAUAAGACAGAUGUGAAAUCCCCGGGCUCAACCUGGGAACUGCAUUUGUGACUGUAUAGCUAGAGUACGGCAGAGGGGGAUGGAAUUCCGCGUGUAGCAGUGAAAUGCGUAGAUAUGCGGAGGAACACCGAUGGCGAAGGCAAUCCCCUGGGCCUGUACUGACGCUCAUGCACGAAAGCGUGGGGAGCAAACAGGAUUAGAUACCCCGGUAGUCCCUGUCUCUUAUACC